UCCAAAUGUGGCUGUACCACUUACGGGCUGUGUGUCUUCAUGGAUGAACCACUCAGUUUCUCCACAUGCGUGUCCGGGUGGACCUCCUCUGCCCGUUCAAAACAUUCUGUGACCGCUUGUUUCCUGAGGCUCAGAUGCAGCAGAAGCCCCUCCUCUCCCACACUCAGCGCGCACUGCUGAGCUGGGAGUGGAACUCUGUGGAAGGUGCUGGAAUCCCAUACUGAGGGGAAAGAGCCCACAGAAACUGGAGAGGACAGCCGUGCCUUGUCUAGGUUAGAGUUCCUCCUGAAGCCAUUCUGGAUGUGGCUGAAUCAUCUCUCCAGGCCCAGUUUGCUCCUGGCCAGGG